rnacentral:misc_RNA from 1 species
GAUGAAGUACGCAGCGAAAUGCGAUAAGUAAUGUGAAUUGCAGAAUUCAGUGAAUCAUCGAAUCUUUGAACGCACAUUGCGCCCGCCAGUAUUCUGGCGGGCAUGCCUGUUCGAGCGUCAUUUCAACCAUCAAGCCCCAGGCUUGUGUUGGAGCCCUGCGGCUGCCGCAGCCUCCCAAAACCAGUGGCGGGCUCGCUAUCACACCGAGUGCAGUAGUUUACUCUUCGCUCAGGGCGUGUGGCGGGUGCUAGCCGUAAAACCCCCAACUUCUCAAGGUUGACCUCGGAUCAGGUAGGAAUACCCGCUGAACUUAAGCAUAUCAAUAAGCGGAGGA